ACGAACGCUGGCGGCGUGCUUAACACAUGCAAGUCGAACGGAAAGGCCCUGCUUUUGUGGGGUGCUCGAGUGGCGAACGGGUGAGUAACACGUGAGUAACCUGCCCUUGACUUUGGGAUAACUUCAGGAAACUGGGGCUAAUACCGUAUAGGAGCUCCUGCUGCAUGGUGGGGGUUGGAAAGUUUCGGCGGUUGGGGAUGGACUCGCGGCUUAUCAGCUUGUUGGUGGGGUAGUGGCUUACCAAGGCUUUGACGGGUAGCCGGCCUGAGAGGGUGACGGGCCACAUUGGGACUGAGAUACGGCCCAGACUCCUACGGGAGGCAGCAGUGGGGAAUAUUGCACAAUGGGCGGAAGCCUGAUGCAGCAACGCCGCGUGCGGGAUGACGGCCUUCGGGUUGUAAACCGCUUUCGCCUGUGACGAAGCGUGAGUGACGGUAAUGGGUAAAGAAGCACCGGCUAACUACGUG
rnacentral:rRNA from 1 species